rnacentral:rRNA from 1 species
UGCCAGACUCCUACGGGAGGCAGCAGUGGGGAAUAUUGCACAAUGGGGGAAACCCUGAUGCAGCGACGCCGCGUGAGCGAUGAAGUAUUUCGGUAUGUAAAGCUCUAUCAGCAGGGAAGAAAAUGACGGUACCUGACUAAGAAGCCCCGGCUAACUCCGUGCCAGCAGCCGCGGUAAUACGGAGGAUGCGAGCGUUAUCCGGAUUUAUUGGGUUUAAAGGGUGCGUAGGCGGUCCGUUAAGUCAGCGGUAAAAUUGCGGGGCUCAACCCCGUCGAGCCGUUGAAACUGGCAGACUUGAGUUGGCGAGAAGUACGCGGAAUGCGCGGUGUAGCGGUGAAAUGCAUAGAUAUCGCGCAGAACUCCGAUUGCGAAGGCAGCGUACCGGCGCCAGACUGACGCUGAGGCACGAAAGCGUGGGUAUCGAACAGGAUUAGAUACCCUUGUA